rnacentral:siRNA from 1 species
UGCGUAGCAUGGGUGUUCAUCUA